GACUAUCAUCAUACCACCCCGAACAUUCUGGAUCUUGUCUAAUUUCAAAAGCUAAGCAGGGUCAGGCCUGGUUAGUACUUGGAUGGGAGACCCACCUGGAAAUAACAGGUUUUGAAGCCU
rnacentral:rRNA from 1 species